UGGAAAGUGAUUUGAAGAGUUGCAGUUUUCUUGAAACCUGAGCCUGAGAAUUUGCUUAUGGAUUGUCUGUAAUGCCAGGAAAUGGAAUAGAGGACUGGGAAGAGUGAGAGAAGGAAGAGAAGCCAGGAGGAGAGUAUGUUACGAGCUGUGAAUAAUUGGGACUUGAUUCCACUGAGCUCCUUUGAAGUAUCUGAGAAUUUGACUGCAGAAUUGUGAACCUUAAAAUCACAGAAAAGAGAAUAUUUAUCUAUUGAACCUUCUCUUCAUCUUGCAUUGGUCAAGAGUUGUCCUACGGGAUAUUAAGACACUUGCACUUUCAAGUUUGCAGAAGUAUGGGAACGAAAGCAUCCAAAAAGCCCUGAGGCAGGAAGCAAGCUGAGACAAGGUGUUGGUGAUGAUGGUACACCUGGAUGAAGCUAACUUUAGCAGCAAUAGUUGCUGAAUGAAUUUUUCAUUUAAUCUAAGUUGCCACAUUCAUCAGCAUAAAAUUGUUAAUGAUAUUCUUUUAGAACUUGGAGGGUGGUAGGAGAGAGAGGAGCAGAAAAAAAUAACUAUUGGAUAUGAGCCUUAAUACCUGGGUUUUGACAUAAUCUGUACAACAAACCUCCAUGAAACAAGUUUACCUAUAUAACAAACCUUCACAUGCACCCCCAAAUCUAAAAUAAAAGUUGAAGCAACA
rnacentral:lncRNA from 1 species